CAUGAGUGGCGGACGGGUGAGUUACGCGUGGGCAACCUGGCCUGUACAGGGGGAUAACACUUAGAAAUAGGUGCUAAUACCGCAUAACGGGGGAAGCCGCAUGGCUUUUCCCUGAAAACUCCGGUGGUACAGGAUGGGCCCGCGUCUGAUUAGCCAGUUGGCAGGGUAACGGCCUACCAAAGCGACGAUCAGUAGCCGGCCUGAGAGGGCGGACGGCCACAUUGGGACUGAGACACGGCCCAGACUCCUACGGAAGGCAGCAG
rnacentral:rRNA from 1 species